rnacentral:rRNA from 1 species
CUGCUGCCUCCCGUAGGAGUUUGGGCCGUGUCUCAGUCCCAAUGUGGCCGAUCAACCUCUCAGUUCGGCUACGCAUCAUUGCCUUGGUAAGCCUUUACCCCACCAACUAGCUAAUGCGUCGCGGGCCCAUCCAAAAGCGGUAGCAUAGCCACCUUUUACAUAGUUACCAUGCGGUAACUAUGGUUAUGCGGUAUUAGCACCUGUUCCCAAGUGUUAUCCCCCUCUUUUGGGCAGGUUGCCCACGUGUUACUCACCCGUUCG